GAUCCUGGCUCAGGACGAACGCUGGCGGCGUGCCUAACACAUGCAAGUCGAGCGGAGACAGUGAGUAGCUUGCUAUGAGCUGUUUUAGCGGCGGACGGGUGAGUAACGCGUGAGCAGCCUUUCCCAGACAGGGGAAUAACACACCGAAGGGUGUACUAAUACCGCAUAAGACCACGGGAUCACAUGGUUCUGGGGUAAAAGAUUUAUACGGUUUGGGGUGGGCUCGCGUCCGAUUAGGUAGUUGGUGAGGUUAACCGG
rnacentral:rRNA from 1 species